rnacentral:rRNA from 1 species
UACAGAGGUCCCGAGCGUUGUUCGGAUUCACUGGGCGUAAAGGGUGCGUAGGCGGCUUGGUGGGUCUGGUGUGAAAGCCCCGGGCUUAGCCCGGGAAGGGCGCUAGAAACUGCCGAGCUCGAGUGCCGGAGGGGAGAGUGGAAUUCCUGGUGUAGCGGUGAAAUGCGUAGAGAUCAGGAGGAAUACCGGUGGCGAAAGCGACUCUCUGGACGGCAACUGACGCUGAGGCACGAAAGCGUGGGGAGCAAACAGG